rnacentral:rRNA from 1 species
GACGAACGCUGGCGGCGUGCUUAACACAUGCAAGUCGAGCGGUAAGGCCCUUUCGGGGGUACACGAGCGGCGAACGGGUGAGUAACACGUGGGUGACCUGCCCUCAGCUCUGGGAUAAGCCUGGGAAACCGGGUCUAAUACUGGAUAUGACUCCAUGACGCAUGUUGGUGGGGUGGAAAGCCUUGUGCGGCUGAGGAGUGGGCCCGCGGCCUAUCAGCUUGUUGGUGGGGUGANGGCCUACCAAGGCGACGACGGGUAGCCGGCCUGAGAGGGCGACCGGCACACUGGGACUGAGACACGGCCCAGACUCCUACGGGAGGCAGCAGGUGGGGAAUCUUGC